CCUUACCUACCCUUGACAUGUCUAGAAUUUUGCAGAGAUGUGAAAGUGCUCGAAAGAGAACUAGAACACAGGUGCUGCAUGGCCGUCGUCAGCUCGUGUCGUGAGAUGUUGGGUUAAGUCCCGCAACGAGCGCAACCCUUGUCAUUAGUUGCUACGAAAGGGCACUCUAAUGAGACUGCCGGUGACAAACCGGAGGAAGGUGGGGAUGACGUCAGGUCCUCAUGGCCCUUAUGGGUAGGGCUACACACGUCAUACAAUGGCCGGUACAGAGGGCUGCCAACCCGCGAGGGGGAGCCAAUCCCAGAAAACCGGUCGUAGUCCGGAUCGCAGUCUGCAACUCGACUGCGUGAAGUCGGAAUCGCUAGUAAUCGCGGAUCAGCUUGCCGCGGUGAAUACGUUCCCGGGUCUUGUACACACCGCCCGUCACACCAUGGGAGCGGGUUCUGCCAGAAGUAGUUAGCCUAACCGCAAGGAGGGCGAUUACCACGGCAGGGUUCGUGACUGGGGUGAAGUCGUAACAAGGUAGGCGUAGUGCU
rnacentral:rRNA from 1 species